rnacentral:lncRNA from 1 species
CUUCACGCGGAGGUGUGUUGCCUAGGAGCUGGGUUGUCUUCACCGCAGAGCAGAGUCUUCUAACCUCCAUCUCCUGCUGCGUCCUGUGUGCUGCUGGCUGGAGAAGGGUUCAAGGCUGCAAUGAGCUAUGAUUCUACCACAGCACUCCAGCCUGCGAGACUGAGCAAAGGAAGAAUGGUGUGCCAGAAUCACCAAAUUAAGAAAGACAGUGAAUCAGCUUUUCUGCAAAAAAAUUUGGAACAACGUGUCAUACAGUGUUUGAUCUCAUUUCAAGAUAAAUGAGUUGUGAAAUCUGAAUCCAUAUCCUGGAAUCUUUUAGUUUCUUCAGUAAUUCCCAGUGAUGCCAAACUUAAAUAUUUUGAAAGAAGG